rnacentral:rRNA from 1 species
GUAGGGAAUAUUGGACAAUGGGGGCAACCCUGAUCCAGCAAUGCCGCGUGUGUGAAGAAGGCCUGCGGGUUGUAAAGCACUUUCAGUAGGGACGAAAAGCGAUGUGCUAAUAUCACGUUGUCUUGACUUAACCUAAAGAAGAAGCACCGGCUAACUCUGUGCCAGCAGCCGCGGUAAUACAGAGGGUGCGAGCGUUAAUCGGAAUUACUGGGCGUAAAGCGUGCGUAGGCGGCUAUUUAAGUCGGAUGUGAAAUCCCCGGGCUUAACCUGGGAAUUGCAUUCGAUACUGGAUAGCUAGAGUACAGUAGAGGACAGUGGAAUUCCAGGUGUAGCGGUGAAAUGCGUAGAUAUCUGGAGGAACAUCGGUGGCGAAGGCGACUGUCUGGACUGAUACUGACGCUGAGGUACGAAAGCGUGGGGAGCAAACAGGAUUAGAAACCCUAGUAGUCC